CGGGGGGCAGCAGUGGGGAAUUUUCUGCAAUGGGCGAAAGCCUGACAGAGCAAUACCGCGUGAGGGAUGAAGGCCCGUGGGUCGUAAACCUCUUUUUUCAAGGAGGAAAAUUUGACGUGUACUUGAAGAAUAAGCAUCGGCUAACUCUGUGCCAGCAGCCGCGGUAAGACAGAGGAUGCAAGUGUUAUCCGGAAUUACUGGGCGUAAAGCGUCUGUAGGUGGUUUGAUAAGUCAAUUGUUAAAUCUUGAUGCUUAACUUCAAAACUGCAAUUGAAACUAUUUAACUUGAGUAUGGUAGAGGUAAAAGGAAUUUUCAGUGGAGCGGUGAAAUGCGUAGAUAUUGGAAAGAACACCGAUGGCGAAAGCAUUUUACUGGGCCAUAACUGACACUCAGAGACGAAAGCUAGGGUAGCAAAUGGGAUUAGAUACCCGCGU
rnacentral:rRNA from 1 species